UGAGGAAUUUUGCGCAAUGGGCGAAAGCCUGACGCAGCAACGCCGCGUGAGUGACGAAGGCCUUCGGGUCGUAAAACUCUGUCAGGCGGGAAGAAACUGUACUGUAUGAAUGAUAUGGUAUACUGACGGUACCGCCGAAGGAAGCACCGGCUAACUCCGUGCCAGCAGCCGCGGUAAUACGGAGGGUGCAAGAGUUAUUCGGAUUUAUUGGGCGUAAAGGGCGCGUAGGCGGCUUUUUAAGUCAGAGGUGAAAUCCCGGGGCUUAACCUCGGAAGUGCCGUUGAAACUGGGAAGCUUGAGUAUGGGAGAGGUAAACGGAAUUCCUGGUGUAGCGGUGAAAUGCGUAGAUAUCAGGAGGAACACCGGUGGCGAAAGCGGUUUCCCGGACCAAUACUGACGCUGAGGCGCGAAGGCGCGGGGAUCAAACA
rnacentral:rRNA from 1 species